rnacentral:rRNA from 1 species
ACGGCUCAGUAACACGUGGAUAAUCUACCCUGAGGUGGGAGAUAACCCCGGGAAACUGGGGAUAAUACCUCAUAGACCAGGGAUGCUGGAAUGCUUCCUGGUCCAAAGGUCCGCCGCCUCAGGAUGGGUCUGCGGCCGAUUAGGUUGUUGUUGGGGUAACGGCCCAACAAGCCUUUGAUCGGUACGGGUUGUGGGAGCAAGAGCCCGGAGAUGGAUUCUGAGACACGAAUCCAGGCCCUACGGGGCGCAGCAGGCGCGAAAACUUUACAAUGCGAGAAAUCGUGAUAAGGGAACCCCGAGUGCCCGUAAAUCCGGGCUGUCCGCCAGUGUAAAUAACUGGUGAAGAAAGGGCCGGGCAAGACCGGUGCCAGCCGCCGCGGUAAUACCGGCGGCUCGAGUGGUGGCCGCUAUUACUGGGCUUAAAGCGUUCGUAGCUGGGCUGUUAAGUCCCCUGGGAAAUCCACCGGCUCAACCGAUGGGCGUUCAGGGGAUACUGGCAGCCUAGGGACCGGGAGAGGUGAGGGGUACUCCAGGGGUAGGAGUGAAAUCCUGUAAUCCCUGGGGGACCACCUGUGGCGAAGGCGUCUCACUAGAACGGCUCCGACAGUGAGGAACGAAAGCUGGGGGAGCAAACCGGAUUAGAUACCCGGGUAGUCCCAGCUGUAAACGAUGCGCGUUAGGUGUAUCGGUGACCACGAGUCACCGAGGUGCCGAAGAGAAAUCGUGAAACGUGCCGCCUGGGAAGUACGGUCGCAAGGCUGAAACUUAAGGAAUUGGCGGGGGAGCACAAUCUCUAGGAGGAUCCCCGGGUACCGAGCUCGAAAUCACUGCCGGAAUUCCC